rnacentral:rRNA from 1 species
UACGUAGGGGGCAAGCGUUGUCCGGAAUCAUUGGGCGUAAAGAGCGCGUAGGCGGCCCUGUAAGUCCGCUGUGAAAGUCAAGGGCUCAACCCUUGAAUGCCGGUUGAUACUGUCGGGCUAGAGUCCGGAAGAGGCGAGUGGAAUUCCCGGUGUAGCGGUGAAAUGCGCAGAUAUCGGGAGGAACACCAAUGGCGAAGGCAGCUCGCUGGGACGGUACUGACGCUGAGACGCGAAAGCGUGGGGAGCAAACAGG